AGCCUUUGGAUAUUGAUUAUUUUCUUCUUAUUGCAUAAGAAGACAUGGGAGUUUAUUGUAACAUUCUCAUUUUCUGACAUGUGGCAUAACUCUCUUUUGUUUUUCUCUUAUUUUUGUUUCCCUACUUCUAUCAUGAUGGGUCAAGACAAAAGAUUUGCUAUAUGAGUUAAGACAGAAGAUUUCCACUAUAGGUCAUUAUACUUGACCGUAUGGAUUUCUAUUGUUCUUAUAUGUUGUCUAAUUUAUGAUCAUAAGAUCAAGUUUUUCAAAAAUAAUGAAAAACUUUUAUCCUUUGGAUAUUGAUUAAUUAAGUUGGAUUAAUAGCUAACCAACUCUUAUAUUUAAACGGCUUCAUUAUGUAAUC
rnacentral:lncRNA from 1 species